CUCCUUUUGCAAGCUCUGCCAUCCUGCUGAACACUGGAGAAGUGAUAGUGAUGGAGAACUGGGAGUAGUGGGAGAAAGGAGAGAAUGGAGUUCCCUGGCACACCUGCAUAUAUCCCUGCUGCAAUGCCCCCACCCAGAGGAACUGGCCUCUGAGACUUACCUCUAGGCACAGCAGUGAAUAAUGUUUGACUUGGAGAGAAGACAGACAGAAAGAGCUGUCACAGAAAUGUUUAACAAGCUAGAGGGAAAAAAAAAAAAAAUCUGAACUCCCCGUUCUACAAUCCAACAGCAUGAGGACACCCCAGAAUGCUGCACGUGACCUUACUGUCAUCUUAUCAGAUUAGCUGGAACUCACUACCGCAGGGUGCUGGGGGGCACAAGAGCUAAGCAAGAUUUUUUUAAGAGGAAGGUAGUACUUAUAAUGCUCUCCAAAUGUUCUGUUGGAAUAGUAACUAUUUAAAACACGUCAGACUUCCAACAGAAAAAUGUGCCUUCUUGCUUCUGAUAAACCAUCCUCAAGGCUGUGGGGCUGAGGAGGAAUUUGCCCUCAAGCUUGGUUAGUCUAGAACCAACCACCACGGAGCGUCUUGAAGGAUUUCUCCGGAGGAACUGUUAAUAAUGACAUUUGGACUCAGAAUGGCCUAUGGAGCUACAGAGCCGUUAGGCUGACUCAAACCUCUGCUAUGACGAGAAUGGACAGCAUCUGGCCACAUGAGGAUGGAAUGAGAAAUAUCUCAAUGUUGCUGAACAGGAGACAGAUCUCCCCUUAUCUCUGUGCUGAAGCUCUUUGCUGGGACUUGAGACGAGUUGCAAAUGCCUGACAAGGUAGGCUGUUGAGAUCUUGUCUCUCAGCACUUCUGCUCACAGGAACUUGGGAAGCCAGGCUCUGUAGUGCACAAACCUUACUCCGGGCAUUAUCACCGUAUUCCAACACAGGCAGCUGAUUUUGAUUCAGCAGUGGUGGCUUCCAGAAACAGAGGGAGUGCACAUACAUCUCCAGACGGGUGCUGAAUAGAAAAAUGAAAAUAACUAAAUAAAAAUCGCUGAGAACAGAGAUGGUGACA
rnacentral:lncRNA from 1 species